rnacentral:rRNA from 1 species
AGAGUUUGAUCCUGGCUCAGGACGAACGCUGGCGGUGCGCCUAAUGCAUGCAAGUCGAACGGGCGAAGGGGCUUCGGCCCCCUAGCUAGUGGCAGACGGCUGAGUAACACGUAAGUGAUCUGCCCCGGAGAGGGGGAUAAGCCGGAGAAAUCCGGUCUAAUACCCCGUACGCUCCCUUUACUACGGUAUAGGGAGGAAAGGUUCCGGCGCUCUGGGAGGAGCUUGCGGCCUAUCAGGUAGUUGGUGGGGUAACAGCCUACCAAGCCGAAGACGGGUAACCGGUGUGAGAGCACGAUCGGUCAGAGGGGGACUGAGACACGGCCCCCACUCCUACGGGAGGCAGCAGCAGGGAAUCUUGCGCAAUGGGCGAAAGCCUGACGCAGCGACACCGCGUGGGGGAUGAAGGCUUUCGAGUUGUAAACCCCUUUUCCCGGGGAUGAGAAAGGACAGUACCCGGGGAAUAAGGUUCGGCUAACUACGUGCCAGCAGCCGCGGUAAUACGUAGGAACCGAGCGUUGUCCGGAUUUACUGGGCGUAAAGUGCGCGUAGGCGGUCCGUUAAGUCUCAUGUGAAAUCUCCCGGCUCAACUGGGAGGGGUCAUGGGAUACUGGCAGACUGGAGUGCAGUAGAGGAAAGCGGAAUUCCCGGAGUAGUGGUGGAAUGCGUAGAUACCGGGAGGAACACCAGAGGCGAAGGCGGCUUUCUGGGCUGUAACUGACGCUGAGGCGCGAAAGCGUGGGUAGCAAACCGGAUUAGAUACCCGGGUAGUCCACGCCCUAAACGAUGGAUACUAGGCAUGGGGGGUAUCGACCCCCUCCGUGCCGCAGCUAACGCAAUAAGUAUCCCGCCUGAGGAGUACGGCCGCAAGGCUAAAACUCAAAGGAAUUGACGGGGGCCCGCACAAGCGGUGGAGCGUGUGGUUUAAUUCGAUGCUAAGCGAAGAACCUUACCUGGGCUUGACAUGUUGGUAGUAGCGCGCCGAAAGGCGUCGCGAUCCCGGGGUAACUCGGGAAGCCUUCACAGGUGCUGCAUGGCUGUCGUCAGCUCGUG